CACCUCACAGGGUCGCACCUGGAGAGUUUUCAGUACACUACCAGUCUCGACUAUGGGAGGGAGAAUCAAGCAGAGGCAUUGCAUUCCAUUCCUAGCUUGUCCAGUGGCUAGCGAGUGGCAGGCAAUCUGCUACAAGU
rfam:Ornithorhynchus anatinus chromosome 18, whole genome shotgun sequence.